rnacentral:rRNA from 1 species
UUAUGGCUCAGGAUGAACGCUGGCGGCGUGCCUAACACAUGCAAGUCGAGCGGAGACCUGUGAAGUAGUAAUACGGAACAGAUCUUAGCGGCGGACGGGUGAGUAACACGUGAGUAAUCUGCCUUCUGCAGGGGAAUAACAUUGUGAAAACAGUGCUAAUACCGCAUAACAUCCGACUGGGGCAUCCCGGACGGAUCAAAGGAGCAAUCCGGCAGAAGAUGAGCUCGCGUCCGAUUAGCUAGUUGGUGAGGUAGUGGCUCACCAAGGCGACGAUCGGUAGCCGAACUGAGAGGUUGAUCGGCCACAUUGGGACUGAGACACGGCCCAGACUCCUACGGGAGGCAGCAGUGGGGAAUAUUGGGCAAUGGGCGCAAGCCUGACCCAGCAACGCCGCGUGAAGGACGAAGGCCUUCGGGUUGUAAACUUCUUUGAUCAGGGACGAAACAAAUGACGGUACCUGAGGAACAAGCCACGGCUAACUACGUGCCAGCAGCGGC